rnacentral:rRNA from 1 species
GACGAACGCUGGCGGCGUGCUUAACACAUGCAAGUCGAACGGUAAGGCCCUUCGGGGUACACGAGUGGCGAACGGGUGAGUAACACAUGGGUGAUCUGCCCUGCACUUCGGGAUAAGCCUGGGAAACUGGGUCUAAUACCGGAUAGGACCACUGCCUGCAUGGGUGGUGGUGGAAAGCUUUUGCGGUGUGGGAUGGGCCCGCGGCCUAUCAGCUUGUUGGUGGGGUGAUGGCCUACCAAGGCGACGACGGGUAGCCGGCCUGAGAGGGUGACCGGCCACACUGGGACUGAGAUACGGCCCAGACUCCUACGGGAGGCAGCAGUGGGGAAUAUUGCACAAUGGGCGCAAGCCUGAUGCAGCGACGCCGCGUGAGGGAUGACGGCCUUCGGGUUGUAAACCUCUUUCAGUAGGGACGAAGCGCAAGUGACGGUACCUACAGAAGAAGGACCGGCCAACUACGUGCCAGCCGCCGCAGUAAGAC